CCAUAACACAGGUGCUGCAUGGCUGUCGUCAGCUCGUGUCGUGAGAUGUUGGGUUAAGUCCCGCAACGAGCGCAACCCUUGUCCCUAGUUGCUACGCAAGAGCACUCCAGGGAGACUGCCGGUGACAAACCGGAGGAAGGUGGGGAUGACGUCAAGUCCUCAUGGCCCUUAUGGGUAGGGCUUCACACGUCAUACAAUGGUCGGAACAGAGGGUCGCCAACCCGCGAGGGGGAGCCAAUCCCAGAAAACCGAUCGUAGUCCGGAUCGCACUCUGCAACUCGAGUGCGUGAAGCUGGAAUCGCUAGUAAUCGCGGAUCAGCAUGCCGCGGUGAAU
rnacentral:rRNA from 1 species